UACGGAGGGUGCGAGCGUUGUCCGGAAUCACUGGGCGUAAGGGGCGCGUAGGCGGCUUGGGAAGUCCGUGGUGAAAGCCCGAGGCUCAACUUCGGGUCGGCCAUGGAUACUCCUAAGCUCGAGUCGACUAGAGGCUAAUGGAAUUCCGGGUGUAGCGGUGGAAUGCGUAGAGAUCGGAAGGAACACCAGUGGCGAAGGCGGCUACCUGGCCUAAUACUGACACUGAGGCACGAAAGCGUGGGGAGCAAACAGG
rnacentral:rRNA from 1 species